UAGAGCAAGACUGUCUCAAAAAAAAGAGGUGAAAUUCCCCCACGCCUCAUAUCUUAAAAGGACUACCUCAUGUCCUAAAAGGAUGACAUGUCCUCAUGUCCUAAAACAACUACCUACCGUGCUGUCUAACUCUCUGCCUUUAUGUCUUCGUUUCCCUUUGGCUGCCUGGCUCCAGCCACACUGGCCUUAAUAUUCUGUACUGGGCCAUGCCCCUUCCUGCUGCAGGGACUUUGAAUUUGCUGUGUCCUCUGCUGAGAACAUUCCCUCUGAAGAUUCAGAACGCUUUGUACUGCUCCAACACCAAAUAUUUAAUCGUCAGUCUAAUCUUGGAUAUUUGAAAUCUUCUCCAUACAUAUCAUGAGAUACUCUUUGCAAGAAUAAGCUUUUGUUUCACUACCAAGAGGUGAGUGCAUUUUGAAAUCCACUGGAACCUCACAGGUAUUGAAUCUCUUCUGUGCACGUUUGGAUGUGGAAAAUGGAAACUUGUAAGUCUACGAAAACUAAACCAGAGCAGGUUUUAUAGUUGGGCCUAAAAUACAGUUUCUAGGGUUCACCUGAAAAAUAUUUUCUAUUUUUUCCUGGAUUUUAUUGCAAAUGUUUUGUCGUUGUUUUGAUUUUGUUUUUUGCCUACACCUGGGUUUGAUUCCUCCACUAUUAGGUACUCACUGUGCUGUGAUGGUUUGAAUGCAGGUUUGGCCUCUUCUCCAGGCUGUGACUACCGGGAAGACAGGGCACCUGUCCUGUUCACCUUUGCAUCUCUGGUGUCUCACUCAGGAUAGGGCACGGUGCUUGCCAAGGACCUGCUGCUGGAGCUGAGAACCUAAUGAUCACAGUGUCAGCCUCUGCCAGCCUUUGUGUGUGUGGCAGGGGUGGUUUUGAGUCCCACCAUCUUCCAUCCCUGAUGCUUGGAGAAACUGAGGACACACAGGUUUCGAAGAUAUAAAUUUUGAGACCCAGAAUUUUUAGGAGUAUUUUAAGACUCCAAAGAUAAGAAUCCUUAAAAACUAACUGUGGAAUGAGAAACACUGCCACCAGAAACAAGAUAAGCGCCUUGCGGGGACUCAACUGACUGCUGGGUUCGAUGGUUCAAAGAGAAAAAGCACAUGAUGACUUUGAAGGAGGCUGCCUGGCUGAGCUGAUCAGAUCACCUAGAGACUGGAAAUGCUUUCUGGAAUCAUCUGAAAUGAGAAGAUUCCAUCUUUCUAGCUGCAUUUUCUUGGUCAUAAGUUAAGAAGAGUCUGCACAAUAUGUUUUGUUUGAAUGUGGAGUGCGAGGUUAGAAAGUAUUUUACAUUGCAGGUUUCUGUGGUAAUAAUAUUUAGAAUAAAUAAAUUCGUGAUUAUUCGACGUGA